rnacentral:rRNA from 1 species
GAUGAACGCUGGCGGCGUGCCUAAUACAUGCAAGUCGAGCGAACGGACGAGAAGCUUGCUUCUCUGAUGUUAGCGGCGGACGGGUGAGUAACACGUGGAUAACCUACCUAUAAGACUGGGAUAACUUCGGGAAACCGGAGCUAAUACCGGAUAAUAUUUUGAACCGCAUGGUUCAAAAGUGAAAGACGGUCUUGCUGUCACUUAUAGAUGGAUCCGCGCUGCAUUAGCUAGUUGGUAAGGUAACGGCUUACCAAGGCAACGAUGCAUAGCCGACCUGAGAGGGUGAUCGGCCACACUGGAACUGAGACACGGUCCAGACUCCUACGGGAGGCAGCAGUAGGGAAUCUUCCGCAAUGGGCGAAAGCCUGACGGAGCAACGCCGCGUGAGUGAUGAAGGUCUUCGGAUCGUAAAACUCUGUUAUUAGGGAAGAACAUAUGUGUAAGUAACUGUGCACAUCUUGACGGUACCUAAUCAGAAAGCCACGGCUAACUACGUACCAGCAGCCGCGGUAAUACGUAGGUGGCAAGCGUUAUCCGGAAUUAUUGGGCGUAAAGCGCGCGUAGGCGGUUUUUUAAGUCUGAUGUGAAAGCCCACGGCUCAACCGUGGAGGGUCAUUGGAAACUGGAAAACUUGAGUGCAGAAGAGGAAAGUGGAAUUCCAUGUGUAGCGGUGAAAUGCGCAGAGAUAUGGAGGAACACCAGUGGCGAAGGCGACUUUCUGGUCUGUAACUGACGCUGAUGUGCGAAAGCGUGGGGAUCAAACAGGAUUAGAUACCCUGGUAGUCCACGCCGUAAACGAUGAGUGCUAAGUGUUAGGGGGUUUCCGCCCCUUAGUGCUGCAGCUAACGCAUUAAGCACUCCGCCUGGGGAGUACGACCGCAAGGUUGAAACUCAAAGGAAUUGACGGGGACCCGCACAAGCGGUGGAGCAUGCGGUUUAAUUCGAAGCAACGCGAAGAACCUUACCAAAUCUUGACAUCCUUUGACAACUCUAGAGAUAGAGCCUUCCCCUUCGGGGGACAAAGUGACAGGUGGUGCAUGGUUGUCGUCAGCUCGUGUCGUGAGAUGUUGGGUUAAGUCCCGCAACGAGCGCAACCCUUAAGCUUAGUUGCCAUCAUUAAGUUGGGCACUCUAAGUUGACUGCCGGUGACAAACCGGAGGAAGGUGGGGAUGACGUCAAAUCAUCAUGCCCCUUAUGAUUUGGGCUACACACGUGCUACAAUGGACAAUACAAAGGGCAGCGAAACCGCGAGGUCAAGCAAAUCCCAUAAAGUUGUUCUCAGUUCGGAUUGUAGUCUGCAACUCGACUACAUGAAGCUGGAAUCGCUAGUAAUCGUAGAUCAGCAUGCUACGGUGAAUACGUUCCCGGGUCU